rnacentral:tRNA from 1 species
GGAAGGGUGCCAGAGUGGUCUAAUGGACAUGCUUGGAAAGCAUGCGUGGGGGAAACCUCACCGGGAGUUCGAAUCUCCCCCCUUCCGCCA